rnacentral:tRNA from 110 species
UGGCCUAUGGUGUAAUUGGCAGCACGACUGAUUCUGGUUCAGUUAGUCUUGGUUCGAGUCCAGGUAGGCCAGC